GGACGAACGCUGGCGGCGUGCCUAAUACAUGCAAGUCGAGCGRGGUGAAUGGGGAGCUUGCUCYCGAUUCACCUAGCGGCGGACGGGUGAGUAACACGUAGGCAACCUGCCCUCAAGACCGGGAUAACAUUCGGAAACGAAUGCUAAGACCGGAUARACAAUCGCUUCGCAUGGAGCGAUUGGGAAACACGGUGCAAGCUGUGGCUUGGGGAUGGGCCUGCGGCGCAUUAGCUAGUUGGUGGGGUAACGGCUCACCAAGGCGACGAUGCGUAGCCGACCUGAGAGGGUGAACGGCCACACUGGGACUGAGACACGGCCCAGACUCCUACGGGAGGCAGCAGUAGGGAAUCUUCCACAAUGGGCGCAAGCCUGAUGGAGCAACGCCGCGUGAGUGAGGAAGGCUUUCGGGUCGUAAAGCUCUGUUGCCAGGGAAGAAUAAGGAUAUGUUAACUGCAUAUUCGAUGACGGUACCUGAGAAGAAAGCCCCGGCUAACUACGU
rnacentral:rRNA from 1 species